GCUAGCAACCAUAUCACUCUGCAACCGACAACUGGCAGUCCACUGAAGCUAAGCAGCUGUGAGCCUGGUCAGUACCUGUAUGAGAGACCUCAUGGGAAACUAUGGUUGCUGCUGGAA
rnacentral:rRNA from 1 species